rnacentral:misc_RNA from 1 species
UCUCCGUAGGUGAACCUGCGGAGGGAUCAUUACAGAGUUCUCGCCCUCACGGGUAGAUCUCCCACCCAAUGUCAUCGUUACCACUGUUUCUUUGGCGGGCCGCCGGGCCCUGCUCGGCCGCCGGCUCCGGCUGGCGCGCGCCCGCCAGAGGCCCUUUAAACCCUGAAUGUCAGUGUCGUCUGAGUACUAUACAAUAGUUAAAACUUUCAACAACGGAUCUCUUGGCUCUG